CUAAAAAAACAGAUAGAACAUAUUCAUCGUUAUUCAAAGCAGUACUAAGGUCGACAUAGAAGUUCGCUAAACUUUCGCGCGCUGAAUAUCCACGGCGAAAACCAAAUUGAUUCGAUGGUAAUAUACUAUUACUUUCAAUAAAGAACUCUAAACGCUGUUUAAUUAAUUGUUCGAAUAAUUUGCCUGCACAGGACGUCAAUGUUAUAGGUCUAUAGGAGUCGAAAUUUGUAGGAUCUUUACCGGGUUUAAUUACUGGAAUCAAACAAUCCAUUUUCCAUUCUGGUGGGAUAAUACAGUCCUUCCAUAAAUCGUUAAAAAUUUGUAAGAGUUUAGUAAGGUUUAUUUUAUUCAGCAAUCGAAACAUAUUGUAUGUUAAGCGAUCAAGGCCACUAGCUGUAUCUUUUCUAGAUUUUACUGCACUGGAUAUUUCAUCAAUUGAGAAUGGGUCAGUGAGAAAUUUUGGGCAUGAAUUAACAGAAUUAAACUGUUUGUCAUCAAAAGGUGAGUGUACAAAAUCAGGAGUAUAUUUGCGUAAAAAAUCAUUGACCCAUGAUAUAUCUUUAAAAUGAUUUUGACGAUGUUUUGAAUUUAGUUUUCUCAUAUUUUGCCAAACAGUGGAAAUUGGUGUUAAUCUAUUAAAUUUGGAACAAAAUUCCUGCCACCCCUGUUGUCUUACUUGCUUAAUUACUAACUUUUUAACAGCUUGAACUCUUUUAAAAUUUAUGUAAUUAUCGAGAGUUGGAUUUUGUUUAAACCUAAGGUAAGCCGCUUUACUAUCAUUGACAGCUGUCGCACACCUGUUAUUCCACCAAGGUACUGCAAUAUGUUUGUGCCUCUUUGAAGUAUUUGCACCGCUAUUUGAUAAGUUCCUACGUGGAACGGAACGUUCCACAGCUGUCAAAAUAAUUUUACAGAACCUAUUGUAAUUGUUUAAGGGUUCAUUGACAUCAUACUCGAAAUCCAAAAGUAAUUGAUUAACAGUUUCAGAAUAAAGAUCCCAAUUAACGAGACAUGCUGCAACGCUCAGAAUUCUUACAGAAUUUAGCUAAAUGUCCAUACCUCAAGCACCGGUAGCAUUGUUUAACUGGUGGUAUAUAUGGAGUGACAUUGUGGCGCCAACCUCCAAUAUCCAGAUAUUCAGGUAAUACAGAUGCAGCAAAAGUAAUUGUCACGGUUAGAGUUGGCUGUAACACAUAUCCAUGAGUCAAGGUAUUUUUUCUUAAAAUUCUUUUAAUAGCAAUAAU